GAAAUGAUCUUUUACUAGGAAUUAGUGGUUAAGGGAAGUCUUAGACUCCUUUUUAUGAUAAUUUGGAGUAGCUUGGUAUCUUUAAGGUUGUGAUUGAGUAUUUUAUUAUUAUGUCUAGUUGAGGAAGGUAGCCAUUAUUCUGAUUACUUGAAUUAGCGUGGGCAUCCAUUGGACCAAGGAAACUGGUGCAUGUAUUCUAUAUCUUUUGGAAGAUGAUUUUGAAAGCUACUUGUUUAAUUGCUAAAGUAUCAUGAGCAUGUAUAACUUGUGAUAUUUGUUAUUACUCUUGCCAUGGUCAUUUGUGAGAUGAAAUGCAACAUUUGUUGAGCUCUUGUAUAAGCAACUUCUUUUUUUGUCAUUAAAAAAACAGUUGCUUAUAUAAAUGUAGUUGCUUAUAACUUUUUUUGACAG
rnacentral:lncRNA from 1 species